ACUUGCUGCUUUGCUGACAAGUGGCGGACGGGUCAGUAAUGUCUGGGAAUCUGCCUGAUGGAGGGGGAUAACUACUGGAAACGGUGGCUAAUACCGCAUAACGUCGCAAGACCAAAGAGGGGGACCUUCGGGCCUCUUGCCCUCAUAUGUGCCCAUAUGGGAUUAUCUUGUUGGUGAGGUAACGGCUCACCAGGGCGACUAUCCCUAUCUGGUCUGAGAGGAUGACCACCCACUCUGGAACUGAGACACGGUCCACACUCCUACGGGAGGCAGCAGUGGGGAAUAUUGCACAAUGGGCGCAAGCCUGAUGCACCCAUGCCGCGUGUAUGAAAAAGGCCUUCGGGUUGUAAAGUACUUUC
rnacentral:rRNA from 1 species